GCGCCAAAGAAAAACAUCACAUAUAAUGACAAAAUGUAUAGAGAUAAAUGUCACAAAUAUUAUUAUUACAUAGCGGAAGUCUUACAAAAAUAAAUGAGAACAAUAAAGCGAACUAAGUAUUAUUCCUUGGCGCCAUCAAGCUGACUGGGAGACGUCAUCUAGAUAAGCUCGUACUCCUCGUAAUAGGGCUCCUCCUGGAUCGCUUGUUCUUCUCCUGGUAUGGGUUUAUAUAUCGCAAGAGUGAGCUCACAAAAGAUCAUAGCUCAACAAGUUGUGAGGAAUAACGUGCAUGAACUCACGAAAGGUGGGAAUUCAUGUGAAGUGUAAGGUUGAUCAACAAAUAAGGGUUAAAGCUGAGCAUUGCUUUUAAUAAGUUGGUCAGAUUUUACUAGCAGUUACUAAAUGUAAGUAGAUACCAAACCAGAGUAAUAAUAAAUCAAAAUUAAUAAUAAACCAUAAUGUGAUGCAAAUGACAAAUUGAAUUUAAUUCCAUAAAUUAAUAAUGCGAAAGUCCUGAGCUGCUCAUGACCGCGAGCAUGGCGUAUACCAGUUUUACACUCUGUAGAGGUUGUACCCUUUACCCACAAGUCAUAUUACUCAUCUGCCACGGGGUUGUACGGAUCUCAUACACCUCUACCAAGGAAGCGAGGCAGGGUAACACUACGAGGCCUUUACAAAGUUACACUAGCUUCAGAAAACUCGUUACAAUUUCUAGGAAGAGCAAUGCAGGAAUCUCCCGUUUGAUCGCUAUCGCAGCAAAAUCAACACGAGAACCUCCUUACACGCCCACUCCCCUACUGCUCUUGCCCUUUCGGGUAAGGUAGUUCUCCACUAGCUUUCCUAAUUAGUCAGCCAAGGGCGUUCCAUACCACCCUUGUGGUGGCACGUGUUUAUCAAGUUAAGCUCCAUGUUCCAAUUAACAUAAUAGUCUUAUCAUGAACAAAAAUAGAACAAUAAUAAGGAAUGAUCAUGUGUAGUAGUUAUCUCAACACCCAAAACCAUAUGUAGCAAUAACAAAGACUACCAAAAAAAUUCAGGGGUAAACAAGGUGUAAAGAUGACCAAACUAGGGUCCCAUCGAAAUUAAACCUAUGCAUGCCAAAAUGAUUAUAGAGAACAUUAUUGAGUAAAUGAAAGUGGUCAAGAGCACAACUUGCUUUAGACUCGAGAUUCCCAGGUACCAACUUGCUAUUCAAGUGACUCGUAACCUCGCCGCUAUUCGUAGCAAUACAAACAAACAUGGUAUAGGCAAAAUUAACAUUACACCAAACAAAAGAACAAGCUUUAUAAUAAUGUUAUACGUGUUACUACGAGGUCGCAGGUUCGAGAAUCACUAGAUUCUGAGUUAUGGUUGGGAAGGUAUGAUUUUCUAAAGUCAUAGGUGAUUAAAAAUAAAACUAUAUUUUGUUAAUAUAAGUCAUGUGGGAAAAGAUAUAGCUAACUCAACUUUUAAUCCAGGUUAUAACUUGAUUAGGGAUUUCAUUUUAAUCAGAUUAUAAUUAUAGAGAGAUUAACCUAAAUUAGUGGAGUUAAUCUACUGAAUAUAGAUUGAACACUUGUCUAAUUAUAAACAUAUGGAAUAUGGUACACAUGAUGUUGCUACUGCGUAGAAAAUAUUUUUAUGAAGCUAACGUGACUUGAAUGGACUAAUUUGGAGUCAAAUCGCAAAAGUUAUGGAUUAAGGAAGUGCUAGAGCUAUUUAAUAUCAAUUCCAUACUGAGAUAAGUUUCAGGGGUUUAUCUGUGAAUUCCAGGGACCAAGGUGUAAGACCCCGCCAUAACCAAGAAUGGCGGGUUUGUUUUGCUAAAGUCUAGGGGUUCUUAAGCAAAAGUGCACUAGCCAAGGGUAUGAAGCAUCCUAGGCCGUCCGAUCUACUCCUUGCGGUCUAGAUUAGAUUGCCCUUUAUCCGAACCGGUAAGAACCCAUGGUCGUCCGAUCUGAUUUUGAGAGCCCAGAUCGGAUCUGGUAUUUAAUGAACCAGCGCCACAUAUGGGCCGCUGGAUUGGGAUCUAAUGGCCCGUAUUCAAUGAGCGAAGGGGUAUGACUCAUUUAAUCGAGGACGCACAUCGAAAACCGACGGUCGAGGGCGCCCCAUCCAUGGAUCUAAUUACAACCCUCAAUCCCGAGAUGGACGGCGCAGAGGGCUUCUUCUUUCACCAGUCGACCACUGCGGCGAACGCUGAACAGCGGCAACGCCAUUACUGGCAACACCCUUCCCCGCGCUUCCCCUGGUGCUCCCCCACCCGUGCACUGUUCUACGGACAGAUUCGAGCGAGGCAAACGCGACAGUGUGGAACGUACCGGUGAUUGGUGUCUUCUUCACCCACGACGAGCGCGGACUGCGGCGCACCCACACCAUCCCUGCGGCACGAAGCCUGGUGAUCAGUGGACGCGGCCCUCACACGGUGAGGCCAAGGAGUCUCCUCGAGGCAUCAAGCAAAGCCCUCGGGCAUGGCAUCGAGGACGAGGAGGUGAUGGACGCAGGUUCUGCUACGGCGGCGAGCUCCAUCCUUUUUGUGUUAGCACCCUCUAGAAGCCUAUAGAGCAGGGAAGAGGGGAAGCAGUAGAGAUUGGAGACGUGGGGAAGAAGAAGGUCUCGUGACGGCAACCAGUUGAUAUUCCGUUCAUUAAUUAUUCGAUGUCCCUUUACAAAACCACGGCACAUGUUUAUAUCGUCACACGGUCGGCCCACCAGGCUCUACGGUCGGCCCACCAGGCUCUAAAUACACGACCCAAUCGGCCCA
rnacentral:lncRNA from 1 species